rnacentral:rRNA from 1 species
ACGCACGCUGGCGGCGUGCCUAAUACCUGCAAGUAGAACGCACAGUUUAUACCGUAGCUUGCUACACCAUAGACUGUGAGUUGCGAACGGGUGAGUAACGCGUAGGUAACCUGCCUGGUAGCGGGGGAUAACUAUUGGAAACGAUAGCUAAUACCGCAUAAUAUUGAUUAUUGCAUGAUAAUUGAUUGAAAGAUGCUAUUGCAUCACUACCAGAUGGACCUGCGUUGUAUUAGCUAGUAGGUGAGGUAACGGCUCACCUAGGCGACGAUACAUAGCCGACCUGAGAGGGUGAUCGGCCACACUGGGACUGAGACACGGCCCAGACUCCUACGGGAGGCAGCAGUAGGGAAUCUUCGGCAAUGGACGAAAGUCUGACCGAGCAACGCCGCGUGAGUGAAGAAGGUUUUCGGAUCGUAAAGCUCUGUUGUAAGAGAAGAACGGGUGUGAGAGUGGAAAGUUCACACUGUGACGGUAUCUUACCAGAAAGGGACGGCUAACUACGUG